rnacentral:tRNA from 1 species
GAGGGUAUAGCUUAGUAGUAGAGUGCUGUGCUUAGCAGCACUAGCAUGCACGAGGUCCUGGGUUCAAUCCCCAGUACCACUG